GACAGUUAUGAUACCUGCUCGAGAACAGGAGGCACUAUGAGUGUGUUAAGAGAGAGGAUUAUGAGAAUAGAGCAACGGAUGCAGGAAAGAUGGAGGGAAGAGUGGCUCUAUUACAGAGAGGAUAAUUGGACCAGGAGGCUGAUUGUCGACUCCUGCAUUUUUAAGAAUAAUAAAAGGAACAUUGAUCAUUAUACCAUGCAGAUAUUGAGUGGACAUGGUAUAUUCAAUGAAUAUCGGAAAACGAUUAGGAAAGAGACCCGCGCAAGAUGCUGGGAUUGUGAUGUCGAAGGUGAUGAUGCUGAGCAUGCGUUGUUCAAUUACCCCAGGUGGAUCAACGAAAGAACUCUAUUGGAAAACUACGUAGGCGAAAUACUGACAACCAACAAUAUUAUAGAAGUGUUUGUCAGUAACGAAGAAUAUUGGUCAAGAUUCCAAGGGCUAUGUCAGAGAAUUGUGAUAACUAGACAAGCCCGGGAGGAGAACAUCGGGAGGCAAAGAAGAUUACGAAUAGGAAGAUGAAAAGAUGAAAGGCACAGCCAGAGAGACCAACCCUGAAGUAAUGUCGAGAGGUGGUUCCAGGGUUGGUUCUUGUACCGAUAGAGGAGAGAUAUGGAGCAGGGGUUUUUAGUGAGUAGAGGCGCCAUCAUCUUGCCAAGCCUUACAUGCGUAAUUGCAGUUUCCCCUCUCAAAAAAAAAAAAAAAAAAAAAGAAAUCUUGAGAUCGUCGACUUUAAUGCUUCGAUAAUGUUCUAGACAGUACACUGCAGACGAAUCGACUCGGUGGAAGAAGAGAAUAAUGGAAAUUCAUUCAUAGAUUUGGAUCUUUCUUCUUCAUCCAAUAUUAUACUACAGUGACCUAAUGAAAGAGUGAGGCGAAUAGGGUCGAUAUCAAAGAAAAUGAAUUCGAAGUAAAUAUUUGGAAAAAAUAUUGGCUUUCAGUUAAGGAAGAAAUCUCCUGGCUGUCCGUACUUUCUACGCACGCAUACUAACAAACAAUUCAGAAAUCAACAUAACGGCAACUCCACAUUGUAAUAUACAUACGGCAUGUGGGACGUCGAAAUUACCGAUAUUCGCAUUAUUUCAUUCAAAAAUGAAGCAAGAGCUAAUUUUUCUUACAAAAACACGCUUCUAGUUAUUUUACACAACAUAUUAUUUUUUUAACAAUUUUGUACAAUAAGAACGAUUUUUCUGUAAUUAAUAAAAGUGCCAUUUUUGCGCUGUCUUACUAUAGCGAUUACGUGUUUAAUCUUUGACUUUUGAAGAUGAAUAUUUCUAUUUCGGUAAGGCUAUGCUCUCUAAAAAUUGAAUUGUGUAUAGAUAAUAUAUUGAAUGACGCAUCACGAAAAUUUCAAAGAAAUUAUAAGGAAAUCAAUCUACGCUACAAAUACCUUAAAGGCAAUACCAUUUGAAAUUACUUUGUAGGUACGGCAACAUAUACAGAUACACUUAAAUGGAAUCAGAACCAAAAAAUAUAUCACAUAUGACAACGAAUAGAUUUUUUUCGCCGUCACCUUCAUCAAUGGAGCGUUAGCAUGCACAAAAUGAUUCAUCAACAUCCAGGAGUACCGAUACUACUAGUCAGUCGUUAGAGUAUACUUUAUUUGAUAAAACAAUUUAUAUUAAUUUAUGUAAUAUUCAACAAAAAUAAAAUAUGCUUGAAAAUCAGUUCA